GAUGAACGCUGGCGGCGUGCCUAAUACAUGCAAGUCGAGCGAACGGACGAGAAGCUUGCUUCUCUGAUGUUAGCGGCGGACGGGUGAGUAACACGUGGAUAACCUACCUAUAAGACUGGGAUAACUUCGGGAAACCGGAGCUAAUACCGGAUAAUAUUUUGAACCGCAUGGUUCAAAAGUGAAAGACGGUCUUGCUGUCACUUAUAGAUGGAUCCGCGCUGCAUUAGCUAGUUGGUAAGGUAACGGCUUACCAAGGCAACGAUGCAUAGCCGACCUGAGAGGGUGAUCGGCCACACUGGAACUGAGACACGGUCCAGACUCUUACGGGAGGCAGCAGUAGGGAAUCUUCCGCAAUGGGCGAAAGCCUGACGGAGCAACGCCGCGUGAGUGAUGAAGGUCUUCGGAUCGUAAAACUCUGUUAUUAGGGAAGAACAUAUGUGUAAGUAACUGUGCACAUCUUGACGGUACCUAAUCAGAAAGCCACGGCUAACUACGUG
rnacentral:rRNA from 1 species